UCUUAUUUCUUUUGCAAGAUAGCUUGAAUUUUGUUAAAGAAAGAACCAAGCUAUAAACUGGGCACGCAGCUUAAGGGAGGGGAAAGGAGUGGAUGAUCAGGAGGGACCCCUGAACUAGUGUUGAUGUACAUGACAGUCCAUAAAUGUAAGUGAGCUGCAUCAUUCUUCCAUGAAGCUUUCCUCUCCUCCCAUUCAUAACAAUAAAGGCAAAAUGAACAAUGCGAAAGUUGAUUUCUUAGCCAGUCAUCAUUUGCAAAAUAUCACAAGUUGAUAAUACAAGGAAUUCUAAGUGGACUUGCUCAUGUGUGGUGGAUGUAGGUGAUAAUAAACAAAAACUAUGACAUGAUGUUGGUGAGCUACAUCAGGCAUCCAUCUCUCUGUUCUAAUACUAAAGGAAUGGGCCAAAAGAGGGAAGCAAUGAUUGACUGAGGAUAGCUAGCAUCCCCACGAUGGAGUAUGACCAUAGAAAGAUCUUUCCACAUUGAAGAAAGCUUUCUUGACUUGCAUUGGGAACCGGACACUUAGAAUGCCUUAGAUGAGAAGCAACAAUAGCUGGUGAAUGCCAACACUAAGGAUGGAAGCGUCUAUGAACAAGUAAGAAAGCUUAUUUGUACAUGAAAAGUUGAAUCUAAUUAAUGCUUCUUACAUUGGUAUGACAAUGUUGCCCACACCCAAUGUGAGUUGUAACC